ensembl:lncRNA
ACAAAUGUAAUUGCAUGGCAGGAUGCUGUAAACGGACCAAACUUCAGCCAGGAGAACAACUGAGAUAAUCCAUCCACAAUACGAGAGCCAUCAACAGCAUCACCAACUUUCACACAGUCAGCUGUUGUUCCUCACGUGAGCUCUGAGCCAUCAACAGCAUCACCAACUUUCACACAGUCAGCUGCUGUUCCUCACGUGAGCUCUGGUGUCUUCGAGCUGGUCAUUACUGUAAUGAAGUGUAUAACUGUGCUGGUGCUUCUGGGAGUUUCAAUCCUUAUCUUCAAACGACUGUGUGUCCAAGGAGAUACAGGAGCACCUCCAGCAGCCAGAAGAUGCAGCAAACUCAAUUUGUGUCACUCCCAGCAUUCCCACAGAUGUUGCUGCCUCACCACAUUAUGCUAGCAUCAACUUUCAAAGCUGCUCUGGUAGUGA